rnacentral:rRNA from 1 species
CCUACGGGUGGCAGCAGUGAGGAAUAUUGGUCAAUGGACGAGAGUCUGAACCAGCCAAGUAGCGUGAAGGAUGACUGCCCUAUGGGUUGUAAACUUCUUUUAUAAAGGAAUAAAACGAGGCACGUGUGCCUUUUUGCAUGUACUUUAUGAAUAAGGCUCGGCUAACUCCGUGCCAGCAGCCGCGGUAAUACGGAGGAUCCGAGCGUUAUCCGGAUUUAUUGGGUUUAAAGGGAGCGUAGAUGGGUUGUUAAGUCAGUUGUGAAAGUUUGCGGCUCAACCGUAAAAUUGCAAUUGAUACUGGCAGUCGUGAGUACAGUUGAGGUAGGCGGAAUUCGUGGUGUAGCGGUGAAAUGCUUAGAUAUCACGAAGAACCCCGAUUGCGAAGGCAGCUUACUAAACUGUGACUGACAUUGAUGCUCGAAAGUGUGGGUAUCAAACAGGAUUAGAUACCCCUGUAGUC